GAAUCCCGUCUUUGACAUGGACUGCCAGGGCUCAACAGGUGUGCUCUCGAAGAGUCGAGUUGUUUGGGAAUGCAGCUCAAAAUGGGUGGUAAAUGCCAUCUAAAGCUAAAUAUUGGCGAGAGACCGAUAGCGAACAAGUACCGUGAGGGAAAGAUGAAAAGAACUUUGGAAAGAGAGUUAAACAGUACGUGAAAUUGUUGAAAGGGAAACGCUUGAAGUCAGUCGCGUCGACCGAGACUCAGCCUUGCCCUUGGCUUGGUGUACUUCUCGGCUGACGGGUCAGCAUCAAUUUUGCCCCUUGGAUAAUGGCGAGGGAAAUGUGACACCUUUACGGUGUGUUAUAGUCUCUUGUCGCAUGCAAGGGUUGGGAUUGAGGAACUCAGCACGCACCUUUGGGUGUCGGGGCUUUGCCCACGAUACGUGCUUAGGAUGUUGGCGUAAUGGCUUUAAACGACCCGUCUUGAAACACGGACCAAGGAGUCUAACAUGCCUGCGAGUGUUCGGGUGGAAAACUCGUGCGCGCAAUGAAAGUGAAAGUUGGGACCUCUGUCGUGGAGGGCACCGACGCCCGGACCAGACCUUCUGUGACGGCUCUGCGGUAAAGCAUGUAUGUUAGGACCCGAAAGAUGGUGAACUAUGCCUGAAUAGGGUGAAGCCAGAGGAAACUCUGGUGGAGGCUCGUAGCGAUUCUGACGUGCAAAUCGAUCGUCAAAUUUGGGUAUAGGGGCGAAAGACUAAUCGAACCAUCUAGUAGCUGGUUCCUGCC
rnacentral:rRNA from 1 species